rnacentral:lncRNA from 1 species
AAAAAGACUCAGAAUAUUGUCAGAAAUUUCUGGAAGAGGAAGAAGAAGUAACCAUUAAUGUUACAAGCAAAGCAGGGGGAAUAAAAAAAUAUCAGGAAUACAUCCCAGUUCAGACUGGAGCACAUGCUGAUUUAAAUCCAUUUUACCAAAAGUACAGCAGCCGCACUCAGCAUGCUAUUCUAUACAUGAAUCCUCAUAAAAUCAACCUGGAUCUCAUUUUGGAACUUCUUGCAUACUUAGAUAAAAGUCCCCAAUUCAGAAAUAUUGAAGGAGCAGUAUUGAUCUUUUUACCAGGACUUGCUCAUAUUCAGCAGUUGUAUGAUCUUCUAUCAAAUGAUAGAAGAUUUUAUUCUGAACGUGUCUUCUAAAGAGAAACUCUUGCUAAGAACUAUGAUUUUAACUUUCAGAUAUAAAGUGAUAGCUCUGCAUUCUAUUCUUUCAACCCAAGAUCAAGCUGCAGCAUUCACACUUCCCCCUCCAGGAGUCAGGAAGAUUGUUUUAGCAACCAAUAUUGCAGAGACGGGUAUCACUAUUCCUGAUGUUGUAUUUGUAAUUGAUACUGGAAGAACAAAAGAAAAUAAGUACCAUGAAAGCAGUCAGAUGAGUUCUUUGGUGGAGACGUUUGUCAGUAAAGCCAGUGCUUUGCAGCGCCAGGGAAGAGCUGGGCGGGUCAGAGAUGGCUUCUGUUUCCGAAUGUACACAAGAGAAAGGUAUGGCAUAGCACUGGAAAUGUAAAACACAUAAACCAGUAUUGUGUGACAUUUCUGAUAAUAUGUAUUUAGUAUUACUUUAUUUUUCAGAUUUGAAGGCUUUAUGGAUUAUUCUGUUCCUGAAAUCUUACGUG